AUUGAACGCUGGCGGCAGGCCUAACACAUGCAAGUCGAACGAGUGGCGGACGGGUGAGUAAUGUCUGGGAAACUGCCUGAUGGCGGGGGAUAACUACUGGAAACGGUAGCUAAUACCGCAUACCCUCGGAUGUGCCCAGAUGGGAUUAGCUAGUAGGUGGGGUAACGGCUCACCUAGGCGACGAUCCCUAGCUGGUCUGCGAGGAUGACCAACCACACUGGAACUGAGAAACGGUCCAGACGCGUACGGGAGGAAGCAGUGGGGAAUAUUGAACAAUGGGCGAAAGCCGGAGGCAGCCAUGAGGCGGGGAUGAAGAAGGCCUUCGGGUUGUAAAGGACUUUCAGCGGGGAGGCGUUACCCGAAGAAGAAGCACCGGCUAACUCCGUGCAAGCAGCCGCGGUAAUUC
rnacentral:rRNA from 1 species